UCAUUCAGCACUUGCGGGGUCUCCCAAAGUCCAGCUGUUUCUCUGCUUUUACCAAGUUGUGCCAUCUCCCUUAGGAACACCCUGUUCAUCUUCCUGCCCAUUUUUCGCUUAUUUGGGGGAUACCUUGUUUUUUUAAAUAAAAAGUCAAGUAACUUUGGGAACCCUAUGCUCACAAUUUCCAUCGGGAGUUUCCGUGCCCGGAACCCGGGGAAAGGGCCGGGGGCAGAGGAGGAGGGCCGCGGGAGCUGGCCGAGUGGCGUUGACGUGGGCCACCAGCAGAUGGUGCCUCAGGCUAAUUAAGGAGGCGGCCGGCCGCUCACUGAGCCCGAGUAAUGGCUCGCCUGCUCCUGCACUUCCACAAAGCGGGAGAAGGGAUCAAGUUGAUCAGAAAACUACUUGGCCGGAGGAUGCCCAGAGACCCUCGUUAAGACCCACACAAUGGAAAGUGGCCCGAGCCUCGUAAAGCAGAGGAAGAAAAUGGCAAGACGGCUGAUGGAGAGAGAGGCAAGUUUAAAAUCGCACAUCAGGGGCAGCUAGAUGGCACAGUGGAUAGAGCACCAGCCCCAAAGUCAGGAGGACCCGAGUUCAAAUCCGACCUCAGACACUUAAUACUUCCUACCUGUGCGACUCCAAGCAAGUCACUUAACCCCGAUUGUCUCAAUAUAAAUAAAAAAAAAAAAAUCACA